AACGUAGGUGGCGAGCGUUAUCCGGAUUUACUGGGCGUAAAGCAUGUGCAGACGGAUUGGUAAGUGGUGUAUGAAAGCGUCCGGCUUAACCGGGCAAGGGUAUGCCAGACUGCCAGUCUUGAGAGUGGGAGAGGGAUGUGGAAUUCCGGGUGUAGUGGUGAAGUGCGUAGAGAUCCGGAGGAACCCCAGAGGCGAAGGCGGCGUCCUGGCCCAUUUCUGACGUUCAGACAUGACAGCAUGGGGAGCGAACGGG
rnacentral:rRNA from 1 species